UCCUUCGGGGCAGGGUGAAAUUCCCUACCGGCGGUGAUGGUGUAUUCAUGACACCUCAGUCCGUGACCCGGUGUGCAAGUGUAUGCGCAUCGGCUGACCUGGUGCAACUCCGGGACCGACAGUAUAGUCUGGAUGGGAGAAGGAG
rnacentral:ncRNA from 1 species